UACGUAGGGGGCGAGCGUUGUCCGGAUUUAUUGGGCGUAAAGAGCUCGUAGGCGGCUUAGCAAGUCGGGUGUGAAAACUCCAGGCUCAACCUGGAGACGCCACUCGAGACUGCUAUGGCUAGAGUCCGGUAGGGGACCACGGAAUUCCUGGUGUAGCGGUGAAAUGCGCAGAUAUCAGGAGGAACACCGGUGGCGAAGGCGGUGGUCUGGGCCGGCACUGACGCUGAGGAGCGAAAGCUAGGGGAGCAAACGGG
rnacentral:rRNA from 1 species